UUAUAGCCCCGAUUGUAGCGGCAUCCUUUUUACAAGGUAAAAAGAUACAGCGAAAAGCGGGAAAUAGC
rnacentral:sRNA from 2 species